UAAGCCAUGCAUGUCUAAGUACACGCCGCAUUAAGGUGAAACCGCGAAUGGCUCAUUAAAUCAGUUAUGGUUCCUUGGAUCGUACCCACACUCACGUGGAUAACUGUGGUAAUUCUAGAGCUAAUACAUGCAAACAGAGCCCCGACCGGAGACGGGAAGGGCGCAUUUAUUAGACCAAAACCAAUCGGUCUCCGACCGUUUGCCUUGGUGACUCUGAAUAACGCCGCAGAUCGCACGGCCUCCGCGCCGGCGACGCAUCCUUCAAAUGUCUGCCUUAUCAACUUUCGAUGGUAGGUUCUGCGCCUACCAUGGUUGUAACGGGUAACGGGGAAUCAGGGUUCGAUUCCGGAGAGGGAGCCUGAGAAACGGCUACCACAUCCAAGGAAGGCAGCAGGCGCGCAAAUUACCCACUCCCGGCACGGGGAGGUAGUGACGAAAAAUAACGAUACGGGACUCAUCCGAGGCCCCGUAAUCGGAAUGAGAACACUUUAAAUCCUUUAACGAGUAUCCAUUGAAGGGCAAGUCUGGUGCCAGCAGCCGCGGUAACUCCAGCUUCAAUAGCGUAUAUUAAAGUUGUUGCGGUUAAAAAGCUCGUAGUUGGACUUGUGUCCCGCGCUGUCGGUUCACCGCCCGUCGGUGUUUUAACUGGCAGACCGCGCGGACGUCCUGCCGGCGGGCGCGGUCGGCCGCCUCCGGGCGCGCCGACGGCCCUAAGAAAUCCUGCCGCGGUGCUCUUGACUGAGUGUCGCGGCGGGCCGGCACGUUUACUUUGAACAAAUUAGAGUGCUUAAAGCAGGCAAAGACCGCCUGAAUGCAGUGUGCAUGGAAUAAUGGAAUAGGACCUCGGUUCUAUUUUGUUGGUUUUCGGAGCCCGAGGUAAUGAUUAAUAGGGACAGACGGGGGCAUCCGUAUUGCGACGUUAGAGGUGAAAUUCUUGGAUCGUCGCACGACGAACCUAAGCGAAAGCAUUUGCCAAGAAUGUUUUCAUUAAUCAAGAACGAAAGUUAGAUGACCGAAGGCGAUCAGAUACCGCCCUAGUUCUAACCAUAAACGAUGCCAGCCAGCAAUCCGCCGAUGUUCCUCCGAUGACUCGGCGGGCAGCUUCCGGGAAACCAAAGCUUUUGGGUUCCGGGGGAAGUAUGGUUGCAAAGCUGAAACUUAAAGGAAUUGACGGAAGGGCACCACCAGGAGUGGAGCCUGCGGCUUAACUUGACUCAACACGGGACACCUUACCAGGCCCGGACACCGGAAGGAUUGACAGAUUGAGAGCUCUUUCUUGAUUCGGUGGGUGGUGGUGCAAGGCCGUUUUUAGUUCGUGGGGUGACUUGUCUGGUUAAUUCCGAUAACGAACGAGACACUAGCCUGCUAACUAGUCGUCCCGGUAUCCUUGGCGCUACCGGCGACAAAUAAUCUUCUUAGAGGGACAGGCGGCUCCUAGCCGCACGAGAUUGAGCAAAAACAGGUCUGUGUUGCCCUUAGAUGUUCUGGGCCGCACGCGCGCUACACUGAAGGAAUCAGCGUGUCCUCCCUGCCCGAAAGGGCCGGGUAACCCGUUGAACCUCCUUCGUGCUAGGGCUUGGGGCUUGCAAUUGUUCCCCAUCAACGAGGAAUUCCCAGUAAGCGCGAGUCAUAAGCUCGCGUUGAUUACGUCCCUGCCCUUUGUACACACCGCCCGUCGCUACUACCGAUUGAAUGAUUUAGUGAGGUCUUCGGACCGGUGCGCGGCGGCUCUCCCAGAGAGCCCUCGUCGUCGCCGGAAAGAUGACCGAACUUGAUUAUUUAGAGGAAGUAAAAGUCGUAACAAGGUUUCC
rnacentral:rRNA from 1 species